AAUGGCCAGGACGUUAGACGAAUCUGUGUCGCUGUGUUUGUUGAUCCUGUGCCGGGAAAGGCACUUCCCAACCCUGGGAUGUACGUGCUCCAGAGCAUAUACUUUACCGUAAGUGUAAGCAUCACUCCAUCGAGUGGCAUCAACAAUUUCUGUAUAAAUGAUCGCCACAUAUGAAGGAAUGAACCGGUGUCUUGCGCCUCCAUCAUCGGGGCUGACACCAAAAUGGCACGUGCAAUACGUGUGUCCACAAUAACGUUACAGCAACGGUCUGGUACUGACAUCUCCAUAAGACAUCUCCAACUGGAAUUCUCUUUUCAGGCUUCACUUCCAAACGCACCAUGCACUUGAAAGACACCUUCACAUUGCGGUCCAGAACAUGCCGGAUGCCGUCUGCAAUUGUAAACAAAGAAAUUCAGAUAAUGAAAAACCGAAAAUACACACGUUGAAUAAUGAAUAUACAUGCGCAUGAAAGUGAUAAAAAUGCAUAAAUGUACUUCAAGGUGAAGAAAACUACA